CGGCCGGACAUAGAGUGGCGAACGGGUGAGUAACACGUGACCAACCUGCCCCGCGCACCGGGACAACCGCUGGAAACGGCGGCUAAUACCGGAUACUCCGGGGGCCCCGCAUGGGGCCUCCGGGAAAGCCUUCACGGCGCGGGAUGGGGUCGCGGCCCAUUAGGUAGACGGCGGGGUAACGGCCCACCGUGCCCGCGAUGGGUAGCCGGGCUGAGAGGCUGAUCGGCCACAUUGGGACUGAGAUACGGCCCAGACUCCUACGGGAGGCAGCAGUGGGGAAUUUUGCGCAAUGGGGGAAACCCUGACGCAGCAACGCCGCGUGCGGGACGGAGGCCUUCGGGUUGUAAACCGCUUUCAGCAGGGACGACGACGACGGUACCUGCAGAAGAAGCUCCGGCUGACUACGUGCCAGCAGCCGCGGUAAUACGUAGGGAGCGAGCGUUAUCCGGAUUCAUUGGGCGUAAAGCGCGCGUAGGCGGCUGUCUAAGCGGAACCUCUAACCCGAGGGCUCAACCCCCGGCCGGGUUCCGAACUGGACGGCUCGAGUGCGGUAGGGGCAGGCGGAAUUCCCGGUGUAGCGGUGGAAUGCGCAGAUAUCGGGAAGAACUCCGAUGGCGAAGGCAGCCUGCUGGGCCGUCACUGACGCUGAGGCGCGAAAGCUGGGGGAGCGAACAGGAUUAGAUACCAUGGUAGUCCCAGCCGUAAACGAUGGGCGCUAGGUGCGGGGGGACAUUCCCUCCGUGCCGCAGCCAACGCAUUAAGCGCCCCGCCUGGGGAGUACGGCCGCAAGGCUAAAACUCAAAGGAAUUGACGGGGGCCCGCACAAGCAGCGGAGCAUGUGGCUUAAUUCGAAGCAACGCGAAGAACCUUACCAGGGCUUGACAUGACGGUGAAGCGGCGGAGACGCCGUGGCCGAGAGGAGCCGCCACAGGUGGUGCAUGGCUGUCGUCAGCUCGUGUCGUGAGAUGUUGGGUUAAGUCCCGCAACGAGCGCAACCCCUGCCCCGUGUUGCCAGCAUUCAGUUGGGGACUCGCGGGGGACUGCCGGCGUCAAGCCGGAGGAGGGUGGGGAUGACGUCAAGUCAUCAUGCCCCUUAUGCCCUGGGCUGCACACGUGCUACAAUGGCCGGUACAGAGGGCUGCCAGGACGCGAGUCCGAGCGAAUCCCCCAAAGCCGG
rnacentral:rRNA from 1 species